UACAGAGGGGGCAAGCGUUGUUCGGAAUUACUGGGCGUAAAGGGCGCGUAGGCGGCCUGCUAAGUCGAACGUGAAAUCCCCGGGCUCAACCCGGGAACUGCGUCCGAGACUGGCAGGCUCGAAUCCGGGAGAGGGAUGUGGAAUUCCAGGUGUAGCGGUGAAAUGCGUAGAUAUCUGGAGGAACAUCGGUGGCGAAGGCGGCAUCCUGGACCGGUAUUGACGCUGAGGCGCGAAAAGCCAGGGGGAGCAAACGGG
rnacentral:rRNA from 1 species